GAAUUCCAUUGUACUUAUAUCAUCUAAUGGAUGGAGGAGUUGUUGGAUUAUCCCCACCAAUUUUCAUCUCCUGGCCUUGCAAAAAAAGCUGGCGGUGACAACAACAAAAUAAACCCUAAGCCUGAUUUGUCUGCUGAAGGAUACAGAGGCAACAUGUGCUCCUGGAUUUCUAAACUGCGGGUAGCAACUCCCAGCCACACUGCUCACAGGACUGGCAGGCAUUUGGUCUGGUUCGUUGGUUGUUUAUUUCAUCAUAUCAAACAGGGAG
rnacentral:lncRNA from 1 species